rnacentral:misc_RNA from 1 species
AAGGAUCAUUACAGAAUAAACUUGAUAGGUUGUUGCUGGCUCUAAAUACUGAGCAUGUGCACACUUGUCAUUUUUGUCUUUCCACCAUGUGCACCAUUGCAUAGGAACAUCAUUUGAUCAAAGGCAGCUUUGUUCACUGGAGAAUUGCUAUUGUGAAAGCAAUGGCUUUCUCUGCUUGUUCCUAUGAUUUUAUAUACACCUGUUAAUGUUACAGAACGAUCUAAUGGGUCUUAAAAUGCCCUAUAAACUAUUAUACAACUUUCAGCAACGGAUCUCUUGGCUCUC